AGGAGUGGAUACUUCCUGGGUGAAGGCCGGAGUACCAGCCCCUGGCAGCUUUGCGAAGUGUGGCGGGAAAGCCGAUACAAAGAAGAGCAUCGGUUGCCCCCUGGAUCGUCAUAAGAGCCUUGUAGCUCUCCAGGUGGUCAACUGGGUCGGUGGAGCCGUCGUAAGGCUCCACGUGUGGCAUCUUGAACCGAUCGGGGAUCGGUUCGUCGAGGA
rnacentral:lncRNA from 1 species